rnacentral:tRNA from 2 species
GGCGGUAUGGUGGAAUUGGUAGACACGCUUGAUUCAAAAUCAAGUAUCGCAAGAUGUGCCCGUUCAAGUCGGGCUACCGCUACCA